GGAGUGUGGGAUUGAAAAGGUUAACAUUCAUUGCAGAGGGGGAUAACUAAUUAAGAGGCUAACCUAUCAGGAAAUGCCCUGGAUCUAUACGUUGAAAACGUUGACUCCUUUUGGUAUGAAUGUUGAAUUUGAAUUAGUCAAUAUUCUAGCAAAUAGUUCAUUAAUAGUUCCAUUUAUGGGGUCCUUUACACUUCAGGUGAAUAUAUGCACAUACAUUUUCUACAUUUUUUAUUUUAAUUUUAUCUUCCUUGGAACAUACACAUAUUGUGUAUAAGAUUAAGAAUGAAGAAUCGUAGUUCAAGAUGUGGGAUAUCAUGUAUGUGCAUUCCUACACUUUUAUAUGUCCUUUAUUUGUUAAUGGGAAAUAUCUACGAGUUUUUAUAUUUGUAUUUUUUGUCUUAACAUGCUUAUGAAACAUGUUUUUAUAUGUUUCUAGUUUCUAGUUACAUUAAGCUGUAGUGGUUCUGGUGACUACAGUGUCGCUAAGAAUUGUAUUUUUGGCAUUGAAAAAUUUGGCUCCCAACUUUUUUUAGCUGGCUUCUAGAUUCCAAACAAAUUUGUCAAGCCCUGGGGUAAGUGAUGUUUCAGGAGGGCUAAAGAUGGCUUCUGUAGUGUAGAGUAAGUGUAAGCUAGGAGAUGCUCUGAAUAAUGUAUUCAAUUAUUUAUACAUAAAAUGAUACCUAAAGAAGAUGUAUUACAUGUAAUCACUUUAAUUUCAGUAAACACACAGAUAACUGUAUGAGUCCUUCCUACCCAUGUGUUCAGCGCAUGUACAGCCCCAACUGGCUUCUUGCCAAGGCUAAGUGUCAGCUCUUUGCUAACAUACUGAUUUUUUGUAGGAGCUUUGCAAGUGACAUAGCAGCCUCGUUCCCUCAUUCUUCUUCUGUCCCACUUUCAUACAUACCAAUGGAAACUAGGGAAAUGCCUUUCCUUGAUAAAUGAAGGAAAUCCAGAGGAAAUAAAGUACUUCUGCCCAACUGACCUACAUGGAAUCGUUUUCUAGGCGUCUUAUCGAUGGGGACCUUAAAUAGUUAGUCUCUUUAGAAAUGUAAAAGCUUUCAUGUAAGUUAAACAAGGCUAUCUACUAAAGAUAUAAUUCUUGGCAAGUCAACGUAGCGGACUGGGAGAAUUUUUCCAUUUUUACCUCAAAUUUGAUAUUUACUUUAAAUUCGUUUUGAAUUCCUGACACUUCUUACUGCAAUAAAUAAUGAUAGUGUUAAACGGUGCAGAGUAUGUCGCAGACUAUAAUUGUGUAUUAUUGAUUUGUUUUAUGUCAUUGUAGAUUGCUACUUCAUCUCUUUUGUUGUAAUAAUAAAACAAUUGAAACCA